GGGUAUAGCUCAGUGGUAGAGCGCGUGCUUAGCACGCACAAGAUCUUGGGUUCAAUCCCCAGUGCCUCCG
rnacentral:tRNA from 1 species